ensembl:lncRNA
UUGCAGACAGGAACUGCUUUAUUUUUUCCAUUCAAGCUUUAUCAAAUGGAUUGUUCAAAAAGCAUACACAAGAGUAAAACAAAAAACAAAACAAAAACAACACAUGCAAUCAAACUUGUUUUGUCCUAGUCACUGGUUUUCUUUAGAAAAAUACACAUUUUAGUAACUUGUAAUUCAAACUGUUUCCACUUUGUUAGCAAUAAUAGAUACAUUUAAUAAUAAUAAAUGUAUUUAUUCUCUCUCACCUUUAUUCAUACUGACAUAACACAGUCUAUAAAAAUCAAAUCUUUCACUGCUCAAAAUUCUGGAAAGGUUCUUUUACACAAUAAGAUUGUGAUGUUAAGAAAUCACACAAAACUAGUAUUUGCAAAGUGGAUGAAAAAUAGGAUAUGCUGUUUGAAAGAAAACAGUAAUAAUUUCUUAUCUAAAUGAUUUCAAUCAAAUGAAUAAUAUAUUCAUCUGGUAAUAGCCUCUCUUUAAGAGCACAAAAAAGUGCUCAUAUUACAUUUAACAAAAAUAACUAAGACCUCACAGAACUGAAAUAAUUUAAGUAAAGAUGACAGCCUGGGGAAUCAAGAUUACAUCUUUGCUUCCAAGGCAUGGAGGCACGUUUGAAUUUAUUCAAAUCAGAAGGAAAAUAAAACACUAAGUUUGCAAAUGCAAAGCUUCCUGCCUUGAAAAGAUAGAAACUGUCUUUAUAAGGUUCUCAUGUUUUCCUUUAGAUAAAGGCCAUUACUAUGAAAUCAGGUGUCUCAGCUACACUGCUCAGCAACUGACAAAGCUGGGCCACUUCUGGUGAUUGUUCUUCUCCAGCUGCUAUCAGCAUUCAUUUAGGGAGGGCUUGAGAGAACAAAUAAGUAUCCCUGAAGACACCUGGACUGCUAGAAUCCACUAGUCUCAAAAGAACUUUUGUAUCAAUAUAGCAAUUGAGUGGAAGAAUUUCCAUGCCCAAGUCACUGCGCGGUUUUGCUGGAGCCAAUCUAGAAGUCCGAUCAUCCUCCUCUGAAGGAACCCAAAACUGAAUUCUGAAGGAAGAAACUAGAGUUCUGGUAAGAUGCUAGAUUCAAGUUUUCUCUCCAUCUUUAUAAAUACUCACUCGUCUAGAUGUUAGUCACAAAGAUGAGAGCCAGAUGAAAUGCAGGUGACCACAACCUAGACAUCCAGUAUCAAAGAUGCUAAGCAUGGACCCUAUCCUAGAAUUAUUUUAAUAAUGCUAAGAGUAUUUACCACUCUCUUUGCAAUCUUACUUUGAAAUUUCUGUCAAAUUUCAGAUAUAUCCAUAACUUAUUAUGGAAACAGAAAGCACAGCAUAAUUUUAUUUAUAUUAAAAUUAUGAGGGAUGUCAUUAAUAGUUCUCUUUAUUUCUCUGGGUAUGGUAUGAUUUCAGAUAACUUUUACUUUCUUAAUGUUUUAAUUGCUUACAGUAUUAUUUUUAUAUAUAAAAAUCACAGUGAAACGAUGUUCAUUUUCAAGAGAAAAAGAAAGUUCUACAGAUUCUGGAGAUAGUUCCAAGUUAAGACUCUUAAAUACUCUUGAGAGACUACUUUAUGGGUCAAAAUUCUCAAAAACAUAGAAUCUUUGUAAUAAGAGAGAAAAUGUUUU